CCCUUAGAUGUUCUGGGCUGCACGCGUGCUACAAUGGCGCUUGCAACAAGUCUUGCCAACCCGAUAGGGUGAGCGGAUCUUUGAAGAGGCGUCGUGAUCGGGACAGUUGAUUGCAAUUAUUCGACUCGAACGAGGAAUUCCUUGUAAUCGCGAUUCAUCAUAUCGCGCUGAAUACGUCCCUGCCCUUUGUACACACCGCCCGUCGCUCCUACCGAUUGAGCGAUCCGGUGAAUGUUUUGGACUGGCGUCAGAAGUGGUUCGCUCCUGACACUACGAAAUUUUGUAAACCUUAUCGCUUAGAGGAAGGAAAAGUCGUAACA
rnacentral:rRNA from 1 species